rnacentral:lncRNA from 1 species
GGCAGCACAGAAACUCCAUGGGGGUGAGGGUGGGGGAUUAGAGUGGUGGAAGGGAAGAGAAACUAAGACUUCGAAAGAGUCUUUGGUAAAGAAUGUGGGGGAAGAUGAUGCAGCCCGCAAAACAAGGAGGGAGAAAAUAUAAUGAGUGAAAAAAUGUACAGCAGGAAAUUAAGACUAAAGGAAGCUAUGUUGGUGGACAGAAAAAAACUCCUUGGGGAAAAUGGGCAGCAUAAAAGACAGGUAGGGUGAAAGAUACCUGUGAAGCAAAGCAGGAGCUAUAUUCAGGCACCUGAAGAGCAAAUUCACCUUCUUAGCAAGCAUCUUUAAAGGCCUCCCUCCGAAUUAUUUAUUUAUUUAUUUAUUCAUGAGGCAGCUAACCUCUAGUUGUAGAAAGUCUCUUCACUGUCUCAGUGCAUUAAUGACCUUCCCUUUCUAGAACUGAAUAGGAAUAUAAUAAUGGGUAGAACGGUCAGAUUCUGUGCUCUGACAUUCAGCAGAGAUAGGUCAAUUUUCUAGCUGGCCUGUUCAGGAAAAGGUACAUGAAUUGGGGAGAGAGAUGUCUAAAGCACCAGAGUUGUUCAACUAUAUUGUGGGACACAUAUAUUAUGCACAAAGUGCCAUAAAAGAUCAUAUGGGCACAAUUAAAAGCUUGGUGGAGAAAUUGUUGGAACCAAAUAAAUGGAUAUAACAGACUAUAGCAAUGCCAGCUGAAAAGAAGGGAGAAACCUGUUUAGAAGGAUACAGUCAGGGAAACAUACUGUUAAAGAGGUGCCAUUCGGGCCAGAGAACCCUCUCCAAAGUGAGCAAAGGGGUAGUUUUACAUGAAUUUUAAGGUGCACACAUACCAGACACACUCCACAGAAAACAAAUCCUUCGCCCGUCAAAAUUUAGGAAAUAUUCCCUGAAAAAAUAGACACUUUAUCCAAGUUCACAAAGCAAUCCUGAAGCCAACUUGACUCUCUUAAUGACCCCUGACUCUAAUCAGUCCCAAUCAACAUGGCCAUCGAAGUUGUGUUCCAAAACAUCUAGAAGCCACCAAGUGGGCUAUUGCACCAUACAGUUCAACAGAUACUGCAAAACCAAAAUCAUAGUUGAAAGUUUUCUGCACAGAAUCCUAUUGCUCAAUAAUUAUUCUUUCCCGUCAACUUAUUCAGAAUGCAAGGCUACAAUUUUAGAGUCUGUGGUGCAAUCACCAGCAAGCUUUCUUAUCACAACAUAUUUGACACAAACAAAUGGCAGAUACUGCUAGUGAAAGGACUGGCAGUGGAUGACAAUCAAAUACCUAUGCUUCCAGAGAUCAAUCACAUUUUUAUGUUAUGUUGUUGUUGCUGUUAUUGAUAUCAUUGUUGUAUCUUUAUUUUUAGAUCUUAUGAUUUACGUGGAAAUUGUUUCCAUUUGGUUGUGUACGUUUGAUGUGUUUUAUUUAUUGUUUAUGACUUCUGCUAUGUUUGUAAUUAUGUAAUUUUGUAGUUAUGAAAAUCUUGUCAUGUUGUAAGCCGCCUUGAGCAUAGUUGCAACUAUGGAAAUGUGACAUACAAAUAAAAUUAUGAUGAUGAUGUUAAUCAGUAGACACAAAUAUCUCUUCACUCUUCUAUUCAACGUUUACAAGGAUUUUAAUGAACUGGAAUAAUGUAACAAAAAAGGAAAAAAAUCCCAACACACCACACACAAAAAUCAUAUGUGUCCCUCAAAAGGUCUUGGUACUACAAAGUCACAAAUUACUGGAAACCAUGGGUAUAUGAUAUGGUGUCAUUUUCCCAAGACUAAAGAGAUGGUAGUAACCCAUUAAUGGGACACAUAUGGUAUAGAAACCCAGUGAAAUGAAGCAGUUGAAGCCUUGAGUCUCAAAAAAAUAAAGGAGGACGUCCUUCGCAGCAGCUAUGGAACAAUGUUAAUACAAAUAGAUAGGCCAGUUUCCACAUGCGCUCUCUCUCUCUCUCUCUCUCUGAGGCUAUCCAGCCAGAUCUACCAGUCAGUUAUUUCUGAGUUCUAUUCCAAAAACCCCAGGGCCACAGAAAAGAGAACCGAGGGGCAUAUUGUCACUGCAAAUAGCAACUAUGAACAGACAACCAUCAGCCCAAAGCUGGAGUCCCAAAUUUUUGUGUAAAUUGUACUAAAUUUACAAUGCUGUGGGGCAGGAGCGUGCACACACGUGCACUUUAUGGUGCCCUUGUUAAUAACACUUUUUUCAUGUACGUAAAGGCACAGUGUCCUGAACUUAAUCAUCUCUCACUUCUGAGUCCAGGCCACUGGCAAAUCUAAAAUUAGUCUUCCAGUUUUCCCAGAAAGAGAAAGUGAUGAAAGCCUAUCACAGUAGACUGAUUGGAAGAUUUAUUGGCCCCAUCAGCUAAGGAAUCUGCACUUCAAAUGGUAACCUUGGCUACUUUUCGUAAACUAUGCUAUUAAUUGGCUUUAAGCACAAUAGAGGAGUCCAUUAGGAUCUGCCAGUCACUCCCUACUGCCCUUUCAAUGAAAGGGCCCAGAAGUAUUUCCAAAGUUGCUUAAGGGUUUGUUUGCUCACUUCAAACCCUGCCCUGCCUCCUGCUGGGUUAGGGGGAGAUAAUUCAGACAUGGCCUGGCAGGUUUUUCCUCUCUCUUCUUCACCGACUCUGCAUGGCACCAAUCCCUUUUCACUGAAAUAAUGAUGAACUGAAGGUCUGUCUAGAGGCAUUUUUCAUGGUUCCCAACAAUAUAGUUUCAUCCCAAACUCCUCUGAAAUAUUCAUUUAUAACAAUUAAGUAGUGUGCAUUUCAAAUUUAUUCAUUCAUUCAACAGCUCCUUUAAAUAUUUUUCAAAAACAUUUAAAGAUCUGCUGAAGUUGUAAAUUAUAUGGGAACUGUAACUAGGUGAUAUUACCUAUAGCUAAAAUAAUAAUAAUAAUAAAGACCGGAAAAAGCAGCAAAAAAAAAAGCUACUUCCAUGCAGCAGUUUAAGGAAAACACAGCACUGCUUUGAUCACCUUCUUUGGAAGCCCAACAGUUAGUACGAUGUGUUUGUUUAAAAAUCAGCCAGAAUUAUAACCUUUCAAUCGUGUGAAAUUACUGUGCCUACUCGGAACGUUUGCUAAUUUGGUAAACAUUAGCAGAAACAUACAGCAGGGCAACAUUAACAGCAAAUUCUGCACUAUGUAAAUUUAACACAGCACGAAGAAAUUUCAAUUCUGCCUCAAGGUUCUUUUAAAGGCAAAAUGUGGAGUAGCCAAGUCAGUUUUGCACAAUGCAGGGGACGGAGUAUGGGGUGGAGGGAGCUCAUGGAGUGGGUACUAAAUGACUCAGCAGAAUUUCAGGAAAGAGGAGAAGAGCACCGCAGCCAUGACUGAAACUGUCUGCUUUCAUUACAGAUGCACCUACUGCACCUCCACGCUGGACAUAUACACAUAGUUGUCUGUUAUGGGCAAGUCAACAUCACAUCAAUAUUCACAAGCAUGACUCAAGCUUCACUGCACAUCAAGG